rnacentral:lncRNA from 1 species
CACGGUCUGAGAAGGGCUAAGGCUAGAUCUAUCUUGCUGAAUACCAUAUCCUCAGCGCCUGACAUAUGAUAUCUCUGAAAGAAUCUUAGGAUUUCCAAACUCCCCAGUCACACUUUGAGAAUUACUGACGUGAGGGAAAGGACAGCACGACUUAAAGACCUACAUUCAACACCAAGCGCCAGAUGAGCUGCAAUCACAAGUGCCUAGGUAACAAAAACAAGUGAAGGGAGUGAGUGUGGCAAGACCCUGGCGAGAAAGCAGCUGCUCCCCCACCCCCUUGUAGGAAUGUAAAUGAAAGGUUGUCUGAUCUCCCUUUUAAAGAUAAACCAGAAACUUGGAUUUUUAUGUGAACUCUUUGGAAUUUUUUUUUUUUUGGAUGGAGUUUGGCUCUGGUUGCCCAGGCUGGAGUGCAAUGGCACAAUCUCAGCUCACCCCAAACUCCUCCUCCCGGGUUCAAGCGAUUCUCCUGCCUCAGCCUUCCGAGUAUCUGGGAUUACAGGCAUGCACCACCAUGCCCGGCUAAUUUUGUAUUUUUAGCAUAGAUGGGGUUUCUCUAUGUUGGUCAGACUGGUCUCAAACUCCUGACCUCAGGUGAUCUGCCCGCCUUGGCCUCCCAAAGUGCUGGGAUUACAGGUAUGAGCCACCACACCCAGCCAACUCUUUUGAUUUUUUAAACGGUGUCCACUCUAUACACUAACACUUUAUAAGCCAAUCAGAAUCCACCUGUAGAUUCAGAUGUUACCAUCUAGUAUACAGCUGAAGCCAGAAGUCAACUAUGGAAACGAUAAAAGGGCAACAGAAGUCAGCUAACAUCUGUAAACUUCUAUAAGCUUGGAAUCCCAAAUCUGGAUAUUUCUUGAUUAAUCCAAAGUGCAGAAAUCAUGAGGUGGUGGAAUCAACCUCCCUACAUCUGGUAAAGCAUCACUAUAGCGGUGAACAAGGGCACUUCAAAUUGUGUUGGACCAGUUUUCAUUAGGGAUGUGUAUGUUAUGAUCAAAAUAGACAUAGCAGAACACAGAAAACUGGGCCCAUGGGUGGCAGAUCAGUUUCUCCAGUUGUCUUUCUCCUUCACAUAUGAAAGCAGGACAGGUUUCUUCAGACUAAAUAAGCUCUAGGUGUUCAUGAACUUUUUAAGAGAGGAAACACACUAAAAUGUAAUGGGUGCCUUUCCAGUUACUUGGAAAAUUUAUUUAAAUAUUGAAAAGAAAUGAGUCUUUAAUUAUUCCUCAAGCUGGUGAAGUGAGUUACACUGGAGAUAUACUUACAGAUCUCUAUAUUCACAUAUCACUAACUCUCUAUUCAGUUUGACACCCUCAACUUUAGUAUGAAAACAUAGAUUAUAUUAUCUGUGUGAAACAUUGAGAGAAAAAGAUCCUUUCAUAGCUGUGCAUCUCCCUCCUAUUAAUCUUAUAUCCCUCUUAAAAUUAAAAGUUUAAUUUUUAUACAUAGUAGAAGUGCAAGCAAGUCAUUCACUCAUUUUAUAAAUAUUAUUUUUACAACUAAUACCUUGUUUAAAAAUAUAGAGAAGACUUUGACAACAACUCUUCGUUGUCCAGUUAUCUUUGGUAUUACUUGAGCUGGCAUCACUUGCAUGUUAAGCAUGGAUAAAAUUGACGACUCAAAAUAAUUGCAAUAGUCUUCCGUAUGUUCUCCUAAUGAGCUUGCUUGGUUUUCUUCUAACUUUAAUAUAUCUCCUUAGGAAAUGCUACAGAACAGUUUGAACCAAAUAAAAUCAGAAAUUUCUUCCAAAAAGGAAAAUAAAAUAUUUCUUGGCUUUACAUUUUUGAUAACUAUGCUUUUCAUUAUGCAGCCUAGGAAAGCCUAAGAAAUAGCCUUUUAUUUGUAUACUUUGUAAAGGAAUCACUGCAUUUAUUUGGAAUUGCUAUCUGGAUAAUAUUGAUUUUGUUUAAUUUACUCCUUUUGACACAGAUUGCUACUUGUUUACUAAAGUCCCUGUUCCUUCUUCACAGUAUUAGAAACAUAUACCCUACCUCCCCAGAUAGGGAUUAUUACAUUUCCAGACACCCUUGCAGCUCUAUGUAUCCAUAAGAUGAAAUCCUCAUAAACAGAAUGUGAGAAGUAAUGUGUGCCACUUCCAGGUGUGGGCCUAGAAACAGUAACUAUAUAUCCUCUACACACUCUUUUCACCUUUCCCACAAACACUAACAAACUGAUGCCAGCUUGAGUUAGGCAGAUGAGGAAAAUAAUUAGAGGUGGAUGAACAGGAAGAUGUAAGAAACCCUGGGCUUUGAAAGGCAGUGUGGAUCAGAGCUAUGCCACCAAACGGAACUUUUCACGCAGAUGCUAUUAUGUAAGAGGGGAAACUUUUGUCUAUAAAGUUAUUGUAAUUUUGAGUUUAUUUUUUACGCCAGCUAAGUCUUUAUCUUGAUUAGUAUAUUCCCACUUUUCAUAUAAAUGAGCUAAGAUGAAUGUAUUUGGAAAGCAUAUCUGUACAUGUUGUUAAUAAAGGAAUCCUCUUUGUGUAUGACCCUGUUUUCCCAAAUGAAUAAAAAAAUGUGGCAAGUUUAUCAACUCUAAAGUAAUGCUGAUGACAGAUGCAUCAGUUCAGUUGUGGACCAUUCCAAGUGAUCUAUUUUUUUUUCCUUUGGGUGUGUCAUCAUAGAUAACUUAACUUCAUAUACUGCUGUUAGCUCUUUUCAAUAACUUUUUUUUAAUGAGCCAGAUGAGUGUAAAUAAAAAAGAAUGAUAAAAAUAACUCUAGUAGUUUUGUCUUAUUACUUUCUACCCUCCUCCAGGUAAGCCUGUAUUUGAAGGAUUGAUCCUCCAUAUGCAGAUCAUAGAUCUACAUAACUUUGUGCAGAGGAAGAUAUUAAAAGCUGAAAAAAAAUCAGGGCUUCAUACAGUGCUUUAUCUUUCAAAAAGCAAAGCUGACCAAAGGCAGUAAAUUUAUCUGAGAUGGGUUUGAUACUGAAGGGUAAGGGUGUAUACUACUUCAAAUUGUCAGCAUGAGCAAUUUCCUUCCUUCACCAGUGAGUCUUCCUCAGUUUGUUAACUGGAUCCACAGACAGCUGGUUCAAGUCUAAGGGCACUUCAACCUGAAUGAGCAAACUGACAGUCUGUAAACACUUAGGAGAAGACUUGAGACAAGGAGUGCUCAUUUCUACAUCCAACAGAGAGAAGUAGU